CCUACGGGAGGCAGCAGUGAGGAAUAUUGGUCAAUGGGCGGACGCCUGAACCAGCCAAGUAGCGUGCGGGAUGACGGCCCUACGGGUUGUAAACCGCUUUUGCACGGGGAUAACACCCUCCACGUGUAGAGGUCUGCAGGUACCGUGCGAAUAAGGACAGGCUAAUUCCGUGCCAGCAGCCGCGGUAAAACGGAAGGCCCGAGCUUUAUCCGGAUUUAAUGGGGUUAAAGGGAGCGUAGGCGGGCCGUGAAAUCAACCGGGAAAUGGGCGGGGUUAAACCGCGCCCCGCAGCUGACACUGGAGGUCUAGAGUUCGCGAGAGGCAGGCGGAAUGCGUGGUGUAGCGGUGAAAUGCAUAGAUAUCACGAGGAACCCCGAUUGCGAAGGCAGCUCACUGGAGUGCAACUGACACUGAGGCUCGAAAGCGUGGGUAUCAAACAGGAUUAGAUACCCCUGUAGUC
rnacentral:rRNA from 1 species